UAGGUGAACCUGCGGAAGGAUCAUUCAUAAUAAGUGUUCUACUGCACUUUUUAAAAAUAGUACUCACCUUGUGUGCAAUGUUUGUUAGACUCUCUCGGGAGUCUGACAUUUAUACCAACCUUUUUUAUUUUGAACCACUUUGUCUGAAAAAUAUUAUGAAUACUUAAUUCUAAAUACAACUUUCAACAACGGAUCUCUUGGCUCUCGCAUCGAUGAAGAACGCAGCGAAAUGCGAUACGUAAUGUGAAUUGCAGAAUUCAGUGAAUCAUCGAAUCUUUGAACGCACAUUGCACUCUCUGGUAUUCCGGAGAGUAUGCUUGUUUGAGUAUCAGUAAACACCUCAAAUCUCUACUUUAUUGUAAAGAAUUGGACUUGAGCAAUCCCAACUGUCGAAAGAGAGGAGGGUUGCUUGAAAUGCAGGUGCAGCUAGACAUUCUUCUGAGCUAAAAGCAUAUUURUUUAGUCCCGUCAAACGGAUUAUUACUUUUGCUCUAGCUAAUAUAAAGGUCGAAUGCGCUACAUGCUGACUGAUGCAGGAUUAACAAGAGCCGCAAGGUUUUUGUAAACUCGAUCUCAAAUCAAGU
rnacentral:rRNA from 1 species